rnacentral:rRNA from 1 species
GUCCACGCCGUAAACGAUGGGCACUAGGCGUCGGGGGGAGCGACCCUCCCGGUGCCGUCGCUAACGCUGUAAGUGCCCCGCAUGGGGAGUACGGCCGCAAGGCUGAAACUCAAAGGAAUUGACGGGGGCCCGCACAAGCGGUGGAGCAUGUGGUUUAAUUCGAAGCAACGCGAAGAACCUUACCUGGGCUUGACAUGCAUGAGUAAGCAGGUGGAAACACCGGGCCUCCUUCGGGACUCAUGCACAGGUGCUGCAUGGCUGUCGU